rnacentral:piRNA from 1 species
UGUCAAUAUCGCCUCUCAUUCU